UAUAGUUGAGCUAGAAUACUAUCGGUAGCAAAGAGGCUUCGUUGCCAUCUAUUUGUUUUCGAUGAUAUAACUCCAAAUCGAUAAUCGCACCAUUGAGUAUGAUCUAUACCACUUGAAAUAUCUAAAAAUUAAAUUUCAAUUUUUUUUGACAUCAUUGACCCAAUGAUCAAAAGUUUCUAAAAUUUGUGAUUUUAAUGAUCGAUAUGAGGCAUUUUCAUGUUUAACGGUGUAAAAAUAUCCAAAUCAAUUAAAUUUUGGUUAGAAAAUUCUUUAAACUACUUAGAACAAAAUCUAUUUUCUCGAUCUUGAUUAUAAGAUUCCUAUCAUCACUUCUUAAAGGAUAUUCAGCUAUUUAUUUUUGUGUCCACUUGAUGGACAAGAGAAUGAUAUUGGAAAAGUAUGAAAUUUGAUUUCUAGAUACUUUAUCGGUACCGAUCAUCGAUUUCGCAACGGAGCCCGUUUGCUACCGAUAGCAUUUCAGCUCAACUCUAUAUAUAUAUAUA
rnacentral:lncRNA from 1 species